UACGAAGGGGGCGAGCGUUGUUCGGAUUUACUGGGCGUAAAGGGCGUGCAGGCGGCUCAUUUUGUCAGGCGUGAAAGCCCCGGGCUUAACCUGGGAACUGCGUUUGAUACGGAUGGGCUAGAGUUCGGGAGGGGAGAGUGGAAUUCCCAGUGUAGAGGUGAAAUUCGUAGAUAUUGGGAAGAACACCGGUGGCGAAGGCGGCUCUCUGGACCGAUACUGACGCUGAGGCGCGAAAGCGUGGGGAGCAAACAGG
rnacentral:rRNA from 1 species